AUGAAUGAAGAUUUACCAGAGGAGUUUACCACACUGAUCGUAAGUUUGUGGGUGAUCUUGAGCUCUCGGCGUAAGGCUAUUCAUGAAGAUAUAUUCCAGAGCCCAUAUGCAAUACACAGUUUCGUUACAUCCUACAUUAGAGAGCUUGAGUCUCUUCAGAAGCCCACCAAGGAACCGACAGUUCAAAGAGCACCUAGAACGACCAGAUGGAUUCCUCCACCUGAAGGACACAUGAAAAUCAACAUAGAUGCUGCCGUAACGAGGGCUGGAGAUUAUGGUGCAGUAGCAACACUAUGCCAAGACCACCAAGGGACUUUCUAG
rnacentral:rRNA from 1 species